rnacentral:lncRNA from 1 species
CCCCAUCGCGUUGGUUGGUCGGCGCCGGCGGUGGAAGGCGAUGCUCGUCCCCGACGGCUCGUGGCCCGUCCCGUAUGCAGGUGGCCCCCGGGAUGCCCUCAUUACAGAGGGGAAUUAUGAGGAAGGGUCAUGUCUGUCUAUGGAGACUUUUCCACCUCCUGAUGCCCAGCAGGAAGGAGCGCGCGCUGGCAGCGCAAGGGAGAUGCCCCCAAGCAGCCCGCUGCUCUGCCACCCGGGGGGCUCCCGGGGUCCAGGUGGCCCCAGCACCUCUCUUCUCUUUAGGGAUUUGGAUUUCGGUAGUUUUGAGCCCCCCUCGCUUCAAGGCAGGGCGGCUCAGGGCUGCCCCCUCCGUCCACCUGCCUCCCGCCUGGGCUGCUGGCCACGGCGUCGGGCAUCGCUCUGCCUCCGCAGCUUGCUCGGUACCCGGGAGCUUUCCAGAGCGCUUCCCGGUGGAAAUGAGGCUCAGGCAGGCCCUGGGAUGGGCUGUCGGCUUCCUCGCGCGCUCCACAUGGGAAGGGACACCGCGGCGGCGAAGGGUCCCUUUCCGAGACAAUAAGAUCUAUUUGUCUGUGAUAGCUUUGCUUCUGAGCGUCUGCCAACGCAUGUAUUAUUUAGCUGUUAUUGAACCCUCACCAGUCGCCGUGAAACGGGGCGGCCGUCUCCUCCCAUUGUUGUCCUUAUAUGGAGCAGGCUGGGGACUUUAUUCAGGUUCUGCAAUAUUUUUCCCUUUUCUAUGUAUUUUUUCCCCGUUGCCUGCCCGGCUGGUUGUCCUGCCCUCCCGGCGGAGGGGGGAUUCCUCUGGGACGGAGGCAGCUCGUUGCGGAGCAGGACCUGACGCCCAGCGUCACCCGCCUGCCUGCGCGUGACCCGGCAAAGCCCCUUCCCCGCUCUGCCCCUCGCUUUCCUCAGCCUUAAUCGCCGAUCGGUUACAGCCUCCAGCGCCGUAGCAGGGGGCUGCUCAUGAGUGGGAAAUCUGGGCAAUGCCCUUGAGACCUUGUGGAUGGUGGGUUUUUUUAGGAGGAAAAGGGCUGGCUGCUGG